rnacentral:rRNA from 1 species
ACUGAACGCUGGCGGCAGGCCUAACACAUGCAAGUCGAACGGUAACAGGAAGCAGCUUGCUGCUUUGCUGACGAGUGGCGGACGGGUGAGUAAUGUCUGGGAAACUGCCCGAUGGAGGGGGAUAACUACUGGAAACGGUAGCUAAUACCGCAUAACGUCGCAAGACCAAAGAGGGGGACCUUAGGGCCUCUUGCCAUCGGAUGUGCCCAGAUGGGAUUAGCUAGUAGGUGGGGUAACGGCUCACCUAGGCGACGAUCCCUAGCUGGUCUGAGAGGAUGACCAGCCACACUGGAACUGAGACACGGUCCAGACUCCUACGGGAGGCAGCAGUGGGGAAUAUUGCACAAUGGGCGCAAGCCUGAUGCAGCCAUGCCGCGUGUAUGAAGAAGGCCUUCGGGUUGUAAAGUACUUUCAGCGGGGAGGAAGGGAGUAAAGUUAAUACCUUUGCUCAUUGACGUUACCCGCAGAAGAAGCACCGGCUAACUCCGUG